CGACUGUCCGCGAGUAUACUCGCAUGUCCCGCGCGAUAACAAAAAAGCUAAAUAUAGUUUCCGACACUCUCCCCCCAUAUAGCUUCUUGAAGGUAUAUGUACUGAAAGGAAACUUAAUUAAUCUCAAUGUUACUAAUGUAAGGUCUACUAAAUGUUAUAUAUUAGAUAUAAACUUUAACGUCUCAAAAGGAUAUACUCUGUUCAAUUUCUUGUUCAAAUUUCAUCAUAGUUCGCUUGCUCUUGGAUGCGUAACCUUGCGGUGACCGCUGCCUCGCGGGUUGGUCGAAAUACUGCAGCUUCUGGAUUGAGGUUUUCACUACCGGUUGAUGGUCUUAUGUCACACGACAGUUCAAGUGGGUAGAGUAGAUUGACUGCUCUCUCAAAAUGACCGUUUCCCGUCUUUAUUUUCGCUGCUCGAAUGACCCCGUCUCUUCCUGGGUAAAGUUCCUGAACUAUUCCGAGCGGCCACUUUCCUCUAUUGCGCUCUUCAGAAUAAAUUAUGACGACAUCGCCCACAGCUAGGCUGAAUGGCUUCGUAUCAUGUUUUAAAUUAUGUCGUUCUCGUAAGGCUCGUAGGUACUCUUUCGUCCACCUGUUCCACAUGUGAUCUUUACAUUUCUUUAGGUAUUUCGCGCGUUUACGUAGGUCAGGAUCGGCUUCGUGGUAAUGUUCGGGUUCCGGAAGGUGGGUCGAUCCAACAAACUGCAAACUGUUCGGUGUCAAUGUUGGCAUUUGGAUAUCAUCUUCUUGGUACCCUAGAGGUCUGUUGUUCAAUGUUGUUUCAAUGUCUAGAAGGACAUCUUCGAGUUCUUUCUUGGCUAAGAAGCCAUUCCCAAUAGACUUGUACAACGCGGACUUGACCAAGCCGACCAUACGUUCGAAUUGGCCCCCCCACCAGGGGGCCCGACUUAGAUUGAACUGCCAUUUUAUUUUUUCGUUGGCCAGGAAAUGAUUGAAUUUUUCAUCUUGUUGUGCCUUCUUCAACCACUUGGCUGCCGCAACGAAGGUCUUUGCGUUGUCGGAAUAAAUCUUUUCCGGUCUGCCUUUCCUCGCGAUGAGUCGCUUGAGGGUAGGGAUAAAUUCAUCGGUUUCCAUGCUCGUGGUUAACUCUAGGUAGAGGGCUCGCGUUAGACUACAUGCGUAGAGGGUUAUAUACGCCUUUCCUUCCGUCUUUUUAGUGAUGCGGUACUUGAUGGGGCCGGCGAAAUCGACGCCUACGACCUGAAACGGACGAUCACCUUCUGUUCGGUCUACGGGCAAGUUUCCUGGAGGUGGUUUACUAACUGGCUUAGCAUGAAAUCGUCGACACCCGUGGCAUCCCUUUACGGUCUUCUUUACAAGUUGUCUUAGCCUUGGUACCCAAACGUUCUCUCUAAUCUUGGCCAUAGUGAGCCCGACUCCCCCGUGUAACGUGCGUUGAUGCGCAUCUUCUACGAGUUUAGUGGUGUAAAGAUGACUGUCCGGUAAAAAUACGGGGUAUUGACCUUGCAACCGACCUUUGCACACGAGCAUACCAUCUUCAUUCAUUUGUACACCCAGGCGUUGCUUAUCGUCGCUCACUUUGUCGUCUAGAAUUGCUUGGGCUUGUUUUACAUAAGCGCUGUGUUGGUCGUUUAUCUCUUGCGUUGUCAACGGUCCCGACCGUGUCUCUUUCUUAGUUGCUUUCGCUCGACAAUUAUACACAAAUCGAGAAAUCCAUGCGUUUACUCUUACAGCUUUGUUGAGG